rnacentral:tRNA from 1 species
GGACGGGUGGUCGAGCGGUCUAAGGCACCCUACUGAUAAUAGGGCGUACGGAGCUGCAACUCCGUACCGUGGGUUCAAAUCCCACCCCGUCCGCCA